rnacentral:lncRNA from 1 species
CUCUGACAGGCCAGGAAUCAGCAGGACACUCCAGAGGUCAUUCUGGUCACCAGAAGGAUCCCCCAACCUUAUGCUCAGCUACAACUUCACAGGCCCUUGACUUCAAGUGGUCCCAAACAAGGGUCCCUGUAGUAUCUACAACCUAGAUGCCCAACAGAUAGGCAGCCUUUGCCCCAGGAUGGCAGUGAGGGCUCAUAGACCUCCCCAGGAAACGCUUUUGACUUUUACAUCUCUCAGAUUGUUAGCAAGUUAAUAAACCCAUCUUUUCUCUUGGUUCUUUCUCCCCACUGUUCCUAGAUCUCUCCUCUGGGGCCAAGAAGAACAUGGCCCAUGACUCAUCCACACGGCUAUUGUGUCUCCAGAUCCUUCCACCAGGCCUCAGACAGCCCCCUCUGGCCACUCUCCUAAAAUGGGGUGCCCAGGACAGAAUGCACCACUUUAGAUGGGCCGGGCCCUGGGAUUCUUUAAAUGCAGCCCGAAAGUGUUCAUUUGGGGACACCGAAGUCCAAAGAAAACAACGGGCGGCUCCCCUCUGCCCAGAGAAUCCAACACUCCAGCUGAAUGAUGGGAGGGAAUGGCCAAGCUCUCGCCUAGAUCCUGGGCACUCUCUGCUUUCUCCAGACCUCCUGGCAUUUCUUCCUUGUCCCUCCAGCAGCCCAAGGACCUAGGCAAAAGGCAGGCAGUGAAACAAACCGCUGAACAGAGAAGAGGUGAGCUCUGAGGGUCUGGGCUCCCGGGGUUCCUGAGGCCUGG